rnacentral:rRNA from 1 species
ACGCUCGACACCUACGGAGGCAGCAGUCGGGAAUAUUGCGCAAUGGAGGGAACUCUGACGCAGUGACGCCGCGUAUAGGAAGAAGGUUUUCGGAUUGUAAACUAUUUUAGACAGGGAAGAAUAAAGACAGUACCUGUAGAAUAAGCUCCGGCUAACUACGUGCCAGCAGCCGACGGUAAUCUGAGGCGGGCGUGGACGAAGGC